rnacentral:rRNA from 1 species
AACGAACGCUGGCGGCAGGCCUAACACAUGCAAGUCGAACGAGAUCUUCGGAUCUAGUGGCGGACGGGUGAGUAACGCGUGGGAACGUGCCCUUCUCUACGGAAUAGUCCCGGGAAACUGGGUUUAAUACCGUAUACGCCCUUCGGGGAAAGAAUUUCGGGAAGGAUACGGACCCGCGUUUGGAUUACGGUAGUUGGUGGGUAAUGGCCUACCAAGCCGACGAUCCAUAGCUGGUUUAGAGAGGAUGAUCAGCCACACUGGGACUGAGACACGGCCCAGACUCCUACGGGAGGCAGCAGUGGGGAAUCUUAGACAAUGGGGGCAACCCUGAUCUAGCC